GCUCUUUCAAUCCAACUGUUCAUGUAGCGUAUUGGACUUGCUGUUGCUUUAAUAUAGAUUUUCUCUUACUUUUGCAACAAUCUCAAAUUCCAACCCUCACCCAUAUCCACGAACUCAGAGUUAGUUGAUAGGUUAAUUAAUUCAAAGAGUGGUAGAAAGAACAAUGACAACCCCACUUUCUACACCGUGAUCCCUCAGACAUGAACCCAUCUUCCACACCCUCACAUCACAACAAUAAUCCUAUCCCAUCUACUAAAAUCUAUAUAUAAUAGUUCAUUAUUCUUAAUAGAUUCCUUAUUCAAAACAAACAUCCUAUUCCACUCCUAUCCAAAUGUACUUCUUUAAAUAGGGUUGGGAACAUCAAGUCUAUAUAAGGGGCCUACUGCAAUAGUUUUCUUGUUUCUACUAAUAUUCUCUCAAAGAAUUCUUUCGGCCAAGAGAUUUAAUAGAAUGAUCCAUGAAUAAGCACCACAAGGUAAGUUUCCAGUCCAUCAUACAUGAUGGUUUCAUUGAUAUUGUUCUUGAUAUCUCCACCGGCAACCAAUUGUUGGCCUUCUCCAACAUGAGCACAUCUUUGGAUCGAUCACCAAAGAUCAGCAAGCAACUGCUUCAGCGAGCAAGGGAGAAGAUGGAGGAAAACUAGAUCAGAAGCAGCCUCCCAAGUUCAUCACAUGAAAUGCCAACAGUUUGCUUCUCUACAUGAAGAACAAUCAAAACGAUUUCUGCAGAUUUUUCUAGUCCCACAAACCUAACGCCAUGUGCAUUUUUUUUCUCUCUCUAAUGUUAAUGCCGAUUUCUGUAGUUUAAGGGUUGUGGGUUUUUGUUUUCCAAAACCUUCUGAUGCAUAUAAUAUGAAUCCACUACAUUUGAAAAAUUUAUAUCGUGUCAUCUACAAAUACGAAUAACAGCAUGUUACCACCACAUCAGAGAAUCAGGAACCACAACAUAAACAUUAAUAAUCCUUUUGAGCACAUAGAAAACAAAUAGCAAGCAUUACAUCAAUCAUAUCAUAAAGAUAAUUUCAUAUUCCACCAGUAAUACUUCAAAAAUCUUUAAAGUUCAAUAAAGGCUACAGGCGGUGAUGGUGACCGUGUUUGUGUUUAAGGAUGACAAAGUGGUGGUGAUGGGGGUGAAGGGGCAGUAACAAGGUGCAAGAAGGAAAGGGAGAGGUAGAGAAGGAACCAAUGGUAGUUGCAUACCUAGGGAAAAGAAAAAUCAUUUCUAGCCGGAUAGCUUAUUCGCAAGAUUUGAUAAUCCCCAUCCCUUCGAUUAGUUAUCUUUACAUUUUAUUUAUGCCAAUGUCUAAUAUAACUUUCUUAUUUAAUUAUUUGAUAAAUUAAUUCUCAAAUUGCACUAUUUCACCGCGCAUCGCCCGGUUAUCAUACUUGUUAAACAUUAAUGGACAAAACAAAGAUACACUAUAAUUACAAAAAAAAAAAAAGAAUACCAAGCAUAACCCACUAAAACAAAUCCACAGGAGGCUGGGACCCUAUAACCCAUCAACACACUAAUCAGCUGUGUCUCCCUAAGUCAAUCAAGAGAACACAAUUUAAUCGAACUAGGAUUCGCAACGGAGAACCCUAAGAUCGUGAGGAUAAUCUCAUAAAGAUGAAAACUUUUUCACCAUGCUACGGGUUUGGAGAAAAAUUCGAUUCAGAACACCAAUAUUUGAUCCAGAGAAAGCUAACGGAGAACUACUAAGGAUCGAGAAGAAGAAGGGAACCCCUUAAUUUGUUCGCCAGUGGAAAGAAAGGGGGAGGAUGGGGGAUUUCUCACCGACGACGCUGGAACCACCGCCGGAGCCUCCGAGCGUCAUGGACGAUCUCUUCUCUUCUCUGUCUCGAUCUCUCGGGGAUCUGAGAUCCCGAAGUCUCCUGUCACCGGAGGAGAUUGAUCGAUCUUUAUCGAUCGAUCUCGGAAAGUAUCUCUCGCUUUCUUAGUGCCGUCGGCGGAGAUAUUUAAUGUGGAAGGGACCCAGAACGAAGAUGACGGGCCCGGGCCGCCCAUGUAGACUGCGUCAAGCCCACUUUGCGGUAAAUUUAGG
rnacentral:lncRNA from 1 species